rnacentral:rRNA from 1 species
GACGAACGCUGGCGGCGUGCUUAACACAUGCAAGUCGAACGGUAAGGCCCUUCGGGGUACACGAGUGGCGAACGGGUGAGUAACACGUGGGUGAUCUGCCCUGCACUUCGGGAUAAGCCUGGGAAACUGGGUCUAAUACCGGAUAGGACCACUGCCUGCAUGGGUGGUGGUGGAAAGCUUUUGCGGUGUGGGAUGGGCCCGCGGCCUAUCAGCUUGUUGGUGGGGUGAUGGCCUACCAAGGCGACGAAGGGUAGCCGGCCGGAGAGGGUGACCGGCCACACUGGGACUGAGAUACGGACCAGACUCCGACGGGAGGCAGCAGUGGGGAAUAUUGCACAAUGGGCGCAAGCCUGAUGCAGCGACGCCGCGUGAGGGAUGACGGCCUUCGGGUUGUAAACCUCUUUCAGCACCGACGAAGCGCAAGUGACGGUAGGUGCAGAAGAAGGACCGGCCAACUACGUGCCAGCCGCCGCAGUAA